rnacentral:rRNA from 1 species
UACGGAGGGUGCAAGCGUUAUCCGGAUUCACUGGGUUUAAAGGGUGCGUAGGUGGGUUGGUAAGUCAGUGGUGAAAUCUCCAGGCUUAACUUGGAAACUGCCAUUGAUACUAUCAAUCUUGAAUACCGUGGAGGUCAGCGGAAUAUGUCAUGUAGCGGUGAAAUGCUUAGAUAUGACAUAGAACACCAAUUGCGAAGGCAGCUGGCUACACGAAUAUUGACACUCAGGCACGAAAGCGUGGGGAUCAAACAGG